rnacentral:rRNA from 1 species
AUUGAACGCUGGCGGCAUGCCUUACACAUGCAAGUCGAACGGCAGCAUGAUCUAGCUUGCUAGAUUGAUGGCGAGUGGCGAACGGGUGAGUAAUACAUCGGAACGUGCACUGUAGUGGGGGAUAACUAGUCGAAAGAUUAGCUAAUACCGCAUACGACCUGAGGGUGAAAGUGGGGGACCGCAAGGCCUCAUGCUAUAGGAGCGGCCGAUGUCUGAUUAGCUAGUUGGUGAGGUAAAGGCUCACCAAGGCGACGAUCAGUAGCUGGUCUGAGAGGACGAUCAGCCACACUGGGACUGAGACACGGCCUAGACUCCUACGGGAGGCAGCAUUGGGGAAUUUUGGACAAUGGGCGAAAGCCUGAUCCAGCAAUGCCGCGUGUGUGAAGAAGGCCUUCGGGUUGUAAAGCACUUUUGUCCGGAAAGAAAUGGCUCUGGUUAAUACCUGGGGUCGAUGACGGUACCGGAAGAAUAAGGACCGGCUAACUACGUGCCAGCCGCCGCUGUAA